AAUAUCUGUGCAGCUCACAGAGACACAUCCAGGGGGACUGAGCUGGAAGGAACCUCUGACUCCAGCUUGCCUCAUCCAUUCGGGAAGCAGCGUGAGUCCAGCCUAAGCCACCUGGCUUUGGGAAGGAGGGUGCCUUUCUCUGCACCUUCCCUCUAACUCUUAACAGCUUUUAAUAAAAUUCUGGCAACUUGGCACAUUUGAAAAGUUGGCUGCUGCCCAUCAGGGAUGUAUGUCAUGAAUUCCUGUGCUGCAGAUGCCUUUCUGAAAUAAAUCACAUGUGUUUACCUUAGGAACCAGGCACAGGACCCCAGGACUUGAGGUUCAACUAUUACAAGGCACUAAAGCGACAAGCAGCUCCUUUAAAACUACCUGGUUUAAAUGGGAAUUGAUUCUGCACACACCAAUUACUGCUGAAGGCCGUAAUUCUUCCAAGCAUCUCUUCUUUCCUGAAUAUGUUUGGUGGCCCAGGAAUCCUGCUGAGGGGAUUUCAAUUCGAGGCUGUCCCUGAACAAUCUAAGGAUCCUCAAGUGUGUCAAGGCUGUUUCCACUGAUGUCAACAGCUCUCUGCUGAUGGGCGUGCUGAGGACCCGCCCCUGGAUUCUGCCGGCUCGAGAGGCUCUUGGAAACAUUUCCACAGCCUGGCAGAAGGAUGGGCAGAGAAACUUCAGAGAAAACCUUGAGACUUUCCCUCAAAAGAUUCUCCACCCUGCAACUGGCUUUUCUUCAGCUGAGUGUGAAGGACAAGAGAAGGACUGAAAGAGCAUGGCCCAGAUAUGGAUACAGCUCCCCUGUGUAACUGGCAAAGCUCACAGACUUCCUCCCAAGUCCCAUGAAUUGCCUAACUUCAGGACUCCAGGAAAGGAACUGGCUCUUGGAGGAUACUUAGGAGAACAAAA
rnacentral:lncRNA from 1 species